rnacentral:rRNA from 1 species
ACGAACGCUGGCGGCGUGCCUAACACAUGCAAGUCAACUUGACUGAAGGAGCAAUCUGACAGUAGAGUGGCGCAAGGGUGCGUAACGCGUAAGUAACUUGCCCCAAGUAAGGAAUAACGUCGAGAAAUCGGCGCUAAUACCUCAUAAUGCAGCGGAUCCGCAUGGAUAUGUUGUUAAAGGUUUACCGCCUUGGGAUAGGCUUGCGUCUGAUUAGCUAGUUGGUGUGGUAACGGCACACCAAGGCUACGAUCAGUAACUGGUCUGAGAGGAUGAUCAGUCACACUGGAACUGAGACACGGUCCAGACUCCUACGGGAGGCAGCAGUGAGGAAUAUUGGGCAAUGCUCGAAAGAGUGACCCAGCAACGCCGCGUGGAGGAUGAAGGUAUUCUAUAUCGUAAACUCCUGUGAGAGCAGACGAAAGACAGAUUAUUAAUCUGGAUGACUGUAUGCUCAGAGGAAGCCCCGGCUAACUACGUG